UUUUUCCUACGGGGCGCAGCAGUGGGGAAUAUUGGGCAGUGGGCGCAAGCCUGACCCAGCAACGCCGCGUGAAGGAAGAAGGCUUUCGGGUUGUAAACUUCUUUUAUUCGGGACGAAGCAAGUGACGGUACCGAAUGAAUAAGCCACGGCUAACUACGUGCCAGCAGCCGCGGUAAUACGUAGGUGGCGAGCGUUAUCCGGAUUUACUGGGUGUAAAGGGCGUGUAGGCGGGGGUGCAAGUCAGAUGUGAAAA
rnacentral:rRNA from 1 species